GGCCCUCCUAGUAAACCGGCGCACGGGUGAGUAACACGUAGUAACCUACCCCCGAGAUCGGGAUAACCUGUCGAAAGAUAGGCUAAUACCGGAUGAGACCACGAGGGCUUCGGCCCCUGCGGUAAAAGAUGGCCUCUGUUUACAAGCUAUCACUCGGAGAUGGGCCUGCGCGCCAUUAGCUAGUUGGCGGGGUAACGGCCCACCAAGGCGACGAUGGCUAGCUGGUCUGAGAGGAUGACCAGCCACACUGGGACUGAGACACGGCCCAGACUCCUACGGGAGGCAGCAGUGGGGAAUAUUGCGCAAUGGGGGGAAACCCUGACGCAGCGACGCCGCGUGGGUGAUGAAGGCCUUCGGGUCGUAAAGCCCUGUCGGAGGGGAAGAAGGACUUCCGUGCAAAUAGUGCGGAGGUUUGACGGUACCCUUAGAGGAAGCACCGGCUAACUCCGUGCCAGCAGCCGCGGUAA
rnacentral:rRNA from 1 species